UACGUAGGGUGCGAGCGUUGUCCGGAAUUAUUGGGCGUAAAGGGCUCGUAGGCGGUUUGUCGCGUCGGGAGUGAAAACCUCGGGCUUAACUCGGGGCUUGCUUUCGAUACGGGCAGACUGGAGGUAUGCAGGGGAGAACGGAAUUCCUGGUGUAGCGGUGAAAUGCGCAGAUAUCAGGAGGAAUACCGGUGGCGAAGGCGGUUCUCUGGGCAUGACCUGACGCUGAGGAGCGAAAGUGUGGGGAGCGAACAGG
rnacentral:rRNA from 1 species